AUUGAACGCUGGCGGCAUGCUUUACACAUGCAAGUCGAACGGCAGCACGGGGGCAGCCCUGGUGGCGAGUGGCGCAAGGGUGAGUAAUACAUCGGAACGAGCCCGGUCGUGGGGGAUAACGUAGCGAGAGUUAUGCUAAUAACGCCUACGAUCAGCGCAUGAUAGCGGGUGGCGUUCGGGCCUCUCGCGCUGGGAGCGGCCGAUGUCCGAUUAGGUAGUUGGUGGGGUAUAGGCCUACCAAGCCGCCGAUCGGUAGCUGGUCUGAGAGGACGAGCAGCCACACUGGGACUGAGACACGGCCCAGACUCCUACGGGAGGCAGCAGUGGGGAAUUUUGGACAAUGGGCGCAAGCCUGAUCCAGCCAUUCCGCGUGCAGGACGAAGGCCUUCGGGUUGUAAACUGCUUUUGUACGGAACGAAAAGGCUCUGGCUAAUACCUGGGGCUCAUGACGGUACCGUAAGAAUAAGCACCGGCUAACUACGUG
rnacentral:rRNA from 1 species